rnacentral:sRNA from 1 species
AGACCCUCGGGAUCUCCGUUUACAGUUCAGGACCUCAGCUGCACUUUGGCGCUAACGCCCUGUUUCCCAGGGCUGUGAGGGACCAACCAAAUAUGAAGCUGUCGAUUUCUCCAAAAUAACCAUCAAAAGUCUGAUGAGAUAAAGAGCACACUGGAAACUGGGAAUGCUUUGAUGGAAAUUCUGCAAGUAAUGGAAGCUCUGGCUUGCCUUGGUGACUGUCAAGUAAAAGCAAGUAUAUACUCAGUUCUCUCCACACUUCCCACAUACUUACCAAGCAAAAAGUCCAUGAAAAAUCUGCAGCAGCCUCUGAUAGCAGGAAGACAUUAUGUGGUACUCCUGAACUUUCACUGCUGGUCCAUCAACUACACCGUGAUUCUCAGCAGCUAAACACUAAAAAUAAAAAUGAUUUUAGGACAGUU